UACGUAGGGGGCAAGCGUUGUCCGGAAUCAUUGGGCGUAAAGAGCGUGUAGGCGGCCUGGUAAGUCCGCUGUGAAAGUCCAGGGCUCAACCCUGGAAUGCCGGUGGAAACUGUCAGGCUCGAGUCCGGAAGAAGCGAGUGGAAUUCCUGGUGUAGCGGUGAAAUGCGCAGAUAUCAGGAGGAACACCAAUGGCGAAGGCAGCUCGCUGGGACGGUACUGACGCUGAGACGCGAAAGCGUGGGGAGCAAACAGG
rnacentral:rRNA from 1 species